rnacentral:rRNA from 1 species
AGUGGCGGACGGGUGAGUAACGCGUAAGAAUCUAACUUCAGGACGGGGACAACAGUUGGAAACGACUGCUAAUACCCGAUAUGCCGCGAGGUGAAACCUAAUUGGCCUGAAGAAGAGCUUGCGUCUGAUUAGCUAGUUGGUGGGGUAAGAGCCUACCAAGGCGACGAUCAGUAGCUGGUCUGAGAGGAUGAGCAGCCACACUGGGACUGAGACACGGCCCAGACUCCUACGGGGGGCAGCAGUGGGGAAUUUUCCGCAAUGGGCGAAAGCCUGACGGAGCAACGCCGCGUGAGGGAGGAAGGUCUUUGGAUUGUAAACCUCUUUUCUCAAGGAAGAAGUUCUGACGGUACUUGAGGAAUCAGCCUCGGCUAACUCCGUGCCAGCAGCCGCGGUAAUACGGGGGAGGCAAGCGUUAUCCGGAAUUAUUGGGCGUAAAGCGUCCGCAGGUGGUCAGCCAAGUCUGCCGUCAAAUCAGGUUGCUUAACGACCUAAAGGCGGUGGAAACUGGCAGACUAGAGAGCAGUAGGGGUAGCAGGAAUUCCCAGUGUAGCGGUGAAAUGCGUAGAGAUUGGGAAGAACAUCGGUGGCGAAAGCGUGCUACUGGGCUGUAUCUGACACUCAGGGACGAAAGCUAGGGGAGCGAAAGGGAUUAGAUACCCCUGUAGUCCUAGCCGUAAACGAUGGAUACUAGGCGUGGCUU